rnacentral:lncRNA from 1 species
GAGGAUAAGGCUAAAGACAGAGGCUCCAGCUACCUUGGUGACAAGGAAUGGAGGAGAAAAGGAACAGGAAAUUUUAAUAAGAUUAGGAGGGCUUGCUUUUCUGCCAAGUGAGGCGCUUUCACAGGAGCGAUAAAUUGGAAAUGUUAUCUGGCUUGAUAUGCCAGUUUUUCUGAGAAAAUCACUCUGCCAGUGGUGACAGAAUGGAAGAGCUGAAAACAUCUUCUUUUUUCAAAGUCAUAUGUCACGAACCAAGGAGACUCCAAAAAAUAAAUUAUGGAAGAUUAUGACCACUGCUGCCAAGGAUACAGUGAAAUAGGUACAUCUUGUAUGCCCAGUAAUGUUGAAAAUUAAUAUAACCUUAUUUAAAAAGCAAUUUGGAGAUGUUGAAAGAAAGCCUGAAGAUUACCACCAUGCUUCAUGAUUCUAUCCAGGUGUCCCACAUAUGAGAGCCAAUUCCAAAGAAAUAACUACAACUUGGAAAAAACUAUAUGCAUAAAGAUGUUCAUUAUGGUGUUAGCUAUAGCAGCAAAACAAAAAAAAAAAACACAGAAAAUGUUUGCAAGAAUUCCCAAAUAGAAAAUUAUUAAGUCAGCUAUGACAUUUUCCCAGUAGGAUAUUCUGCAGCACUUAAUAUGAAAGUCACUAAGUUUACAUGGAAAAAUACCUGAAGCAUAAUCUUAAGUUAAAAUAAAUCUAAAUAUACUUAUAUGCUAUAGUUGCACUUUUUAAAAAAUAUGACAGACAGCAUGAAAUAUCCAGAAUAGGCAAAUUCAUAGAGACCAAAAGACAGGCAUAGUGGUUGCCACAGGCUGGAGGAAGAAAAGAAUGUGGAGUGACUGCUAAUGCAUAAAAUGGGUUUCCUUUUGGGGUGAUAAAAAUGUUCCAGAACAAGAUAUCCAUUAAAGAAUUGAGAUUGCAGGACACACUACCACCCUGAAAACUGGAGAGAGGAAAAAUACAGAGAGGAAGCAGAUCAGCUUACCUGAAGCAGAGGCCGCUGGAAUCUGUGACAGGCUGCAUUUGUAACCAAGCCGUGGUCCUUUUCAUUGCAUCUUGCCAGAAUGAAGAAGAGCUGAUCUCUCCAGUUCCUGUUAUUCCCCUUACAUUGCCCACAUUUAUUGCUCAAUAAACCACAGAAAUCCUUCUGUAACUCCGAGGAAGUUCCUGAGAUAACUUUGUGAGUGGUCCACUAUUUCUGCAUUUCACA